UACGGAGGGGGCUAGCGUUAUUCGGAAUUAUUGGGCGUAAAGGGCGUGUAGGCGGCUUCGUGUGUCCCAUGUGAAAGCCCCCGGCUCAACUGGGGAGGGUCAUUCGAUACUGUUCGACUCGAAGGCAGGAGAGGGAAGUGGAAUUCCGGGUGUAGUGGUGAAAUGCGUAGAUAUCCGGAGGAACACCAGUGGCGAAGGCGACUUUCUGGCCUGUUCUUGACGCUGAGGCGCGAAAGCUAGGGGAGCAAACGGG
rnacentral:rRNA from 1 species